rnacentral:rRNA from 1 species
CACGUAGUUAGCCGGCGCUUCUUCUGCAGGUACCGUCACCUUGCGGCUUCUUCCCUACUGAAAGAGGUUUACAACCCGAAGGCCGUCAUCCCUCACGCGGCGUCGCUGCAUCAGGCUUUCGCCCAUUGUGCAAUAUUCCCCACUGCCGCCUCCCGUAGGAGUCUGGGCCGUGUCUCAGUCCCAGUGUGGCCGGUCACCCUCUCAGGCCGGCUACCCGUCGUCGCCUUGGUAGGCCAUUACCCCACCAACAAGCUGAUAGGCCGCGAGUCCAUCCAAAACCGCAAAAGCUUUCCACCAACCACCAUGCGAUGAUCAGUCAUAUCCGGUAUUAGACCCAGUUUCCCAGGCUUAUCCCAGAGUCAAGGCAGGUUACUCACGUGUUACUCACCCGUUCGCCACUAAUCCACCCACAAGUGGCUUCAUCGUUCGACUUGCAUGUGUUAAGCACGCCGCCAGCGUUCAUCCUGAGCCAGGAUCAAACUCU